rnacentral:rRNA from 1 species
GACGAACGCUGGCGGCGUGCUUAACACAUGCAAGUCGAACGGAAAGGCCCUGCUUUUGUGGGGUGCUCGAGUGGCGAACGGGUGAGUAACACGUGAGUAACCUGCCCUUGACUUUGGGAUAACUUCAGGAAACUGGGGCUAAUACCGGAUAGGAGCUCCUGCUGCAUGGUGGGGGUUGGAAAGUUUCGGCGGUUGGGGAUGGACUCGCGGCUUAUCAGCUUGUUGGUGGGGUAGUGGCUUACCAAGGCUUUGACGGGUAGCCGGCCUGAGAGGGUGACCGGCCACAUUGGGACUGAGAUACGGCCCAGACUCCUACGGGCGGCAGAAGUGGGGAAUAUUGCGCAAUGGGCGGAAGCCUGAUGCAGCAACGCCGCGUGCGGGAUGACGGCCUUCGGGUUGUAAACAGCUUUCGCCGGUGACGAAGAGUGAGUGACGGUAAUGGGUAAAGAAGCACCGGCUAACUACGUG